rnacentral:rRNA from 1 species
GUGAGUCAUCGAAUCUUUGAACGCACCUUGCGCUCCUUGGUAUUCCGAGGAGCAUGCCUGUUUGAGUGUCAUUGAAUUCUCAACCAUGUCUCGAUCGACUUCGAGGCAUGGCUUGGAGUUUGGGAGUUGCUGGCGUCAAGUCAGCUCUUCUGAAAUACAUUAGCGAUGGACGAGCAUGUCCUGAUGUGCACGGCCUACCGACGUGAUAAUGAUCGUCGUGGCUGGAGCGUUCGGACGUCGCAUCUUCAUGGUCUGUUUCGCUUCCAAUCGAGAGUACCCUUCGAACGCUUGACCUCAAAUCAGGUAGGACUACCCGCUGAACUUAA